CAGCAGCCGCGGGAAUACAGAGGGUGCGAGCGUUAAUCGGAUUUACUGGGCGUAAAGCGUGCGUAGGCGGCUUUUUAAGUCGGAUGUGAAAUCCCUGAGCUUAACUUAGGAAUUGCAUUCGAUACUGGGAAGCUAGAGUAUGGGAGAGGAUGGUAGAAUUCCAGGUGUAGCGGUGAAAUGCGUAGAGAUCUGGAGGAAUACCGAUGGCGAAGGCAGCCAUCUGGCCUAAUACUGACGCUGAGGUACGAAAGCAUGGGGAGCAAACAGGAUUAGAUACCCGAGUAGUCCCUGUCUCUUAUAU
rnacentral:rRNA from 1 species